rnacentral:lncRNA from 1 species
AUUUAAAACUAAAAACAAACAUGAAUGCUCGGUCUAUUUCUACUGCAUGCUUCAUGAUAAAUGUUACUCAUUGUAAAAUCAACUAUUUGAAAACAAGAACUAUCUUUAAAAAAGAUAUCCGACGUAUUUAAAUUGGAGUAUAUUCACCAAAACCCCGCGGGAAUCUCACAUGCGUAGGUGCGUUCUAAAAGUCAUGUACGUUCAUACAACAAAGUUUACAUAAAAAAUUAUAUAAUUGUCCCGAAUAAACAGUUGUCAUGGAUGCAUUGGAGUUCUGAACAAUUAUUUUAAUAAAAAUAUAAAUCUUUGUAAGAUCUAGUUCAAAUUUUUAUAGUUUUUCACUUGCUUUCCAUCACGAUAUAAUUAACGAGACGUUUUUUCAAACACAACUAAAUCACCCACCAUGACAGCAUUUUGUCCAAUCACAGAAAGGAUUUUCGAGCAUGCGUAUUUUGUUGCCGUAGUUAAGCGUCCUUAAGUUCAAAGGGCACAAACCGAAACUAUACCGACUACGUCGGAAAAAAAACAACUAAGUGUACAGUAAAAUACAUUCAGUAUAUCUGAAGUAAAUGUCACACACAAACAACCACA